AUAUAUAUAUAUAUAUAUAUAUAUAUAUAUAUAUAUAUGUAUAUAUAUAUAUAUAUAGUGAUCAUUUUAUUGAUUAUUGGUAACGCUGUUGGUUACAAACGUCUAAAAUCUGCAUCUCUGAUUACUAGUAUGAUUUGUUUCAGAUGUGCUGCCAUUUAAUCACGUUUUCCUUCCAUCAGGCUCCGCCCCCUCCAUCCUCCUCCUCCAAUCAGGCAGCAGCUGGCUCCGCCCCCUCUAUCUGUUCUCGUGGUUUUCUGUUCAAUGUUUUUAACGCUACACACUACAAUAAAGUGUCGCCCUUGUUGAUAUUUCCCUCCACCCAACGAUAAUGUAUCAAAUCUUGAAAUAUUAUCAUGUUAAGAGUACUUUAUGCAAAUAUAUAUGAGUAUGAUGAGUGUAUUGUAUGUAUCAGCAGUGGAAUAUUUUUAAAAUAAAAUUAUUUGUUUCUGUCAUCGUGGAUCCAUCCGUGUUUAUCCUCUACACCUGGUCUGUUCCCUCAGCCAAUCAGAGCUCCUGCUGCUUCUCUCAGCCAAUCAGAGAGGCCCGCUGGUAUUUCAUCACGUCGUCAAGGAAGAUUAGUGACGUGGAAAUGUUGACGCACGUCCACGAACUUCUACAGAACUCAGAGUGAAAGUAGCAGUUCCUCCUGAAGGUCAGAGAUUGCAGCAUCUGAGGGCCUCUUCAAAAGAAGACGUAGUUGAUGAAGGCGUUCUGGAGCAGGACCAGAAAAACCACGACCAAGCAGCCUUGAGAUCUUAGACAGCGUCUCCCUCAGGUCCCUCUCUAUCUCCCCACACAUCCACCAACCACUGGAACACAUCUCCAAAGUUCUGCUGGACCAGCUCAGCUUCCCCUCAGAAGAAGUGCUGCCACCUGCCAGAUGAAGGAGCCUUUUGAGAGGCAGCUGGCAUCGUGAUUGGACUGUACUUUGGUCUGUUCCAAUCCAGCUUCAGCUUCCAGAGACGGCAGGUGGGACGAGUCAACGGAGGCCUGGUGGACGAAGACAUGCAGCUGAGUACAAUCCAGAAAACAACAGAGGAGGAGGAAACAAACGUAGUAGUAUAGUAGAAAAUAUACAUCGUAGAUUGUACAAAUAACAAGUCAAAGGAAAGAGA
ensembl:lncRNA